rnacentral:rRNA from 1 species
GAGUUUGAUCAUGGCUCAGGAUGAACGCUAGCGGGAGGCUUAACACAUGCAAGUCGAGAGGCAGCACGAGGUAGCAAUACUUUGGUGGCGACCGGCAGACGGGUGAGUAACGCGUAUGUAACCUACCCUGUACUGGGAGAUAACCCGGAGAAAUUCGGACUAAUACCCCAUAGAGAUAUAGAGAGGCAUCUUGAAAUAUUUAAAGUUUCGACGGUACGGGAUGGGCAUGCGUAACAUUAGCUAGUUGGUAAGGUAACGGCUUACCAAGGCUUUGAUGUUUAGGGGUCCUGAGAGGGUGAUCCCCCACACUGGUACUGAGACACGGACCAGACUCCUACGGGAGGCAGCAGUGAGGAAUAUUGGUCAAUGGGCGAAAGCCUGAACCAGCCAUCCCGCGUGCAGGAAGACGGCCCUAUGGGUUGUAAACUGCUUUUCCAGGAGGAGAAACUCUCGUACGUGAUACGGGAUUGACGGUACCCUGGGAAUAAGCAUCGGCUAACUCCGUGCCGGCAGCCGCGGUAAUACGGAGGAUGCAAGCGUUAUCCGGAUUCAUUGGGUUUAAAGGGUGCGUAGGCGGAUCAAUAAGUCAGUGGUGAAAACCUGCAGCUUAACUGUAGACUUGCCGUUGAUACUGUUGGUCUUG